rnacentral:rRNA from 1 species
CAGAACGAACGCUGGCGGCGUGGAUAAGACAUGCAAGUCGAACGCUGACAUUCGGGUAGUAAUAUUUGGAUGUCGGAGUGGCGCAAGGGUGUGUAACACGUGGGCAAUCUGCCGUGAAGCCUGGGAUAACUCGCUGAAAGGCGAGCUAAUACCGGAUGUGAAAGUUGGAAAGCAUUUUUUGAUUUUCAAAGUUGGGGACCGCAAGGCCUGACGCUUUACGAUGAGCCCGCGGCCUAUCAGCUUGUUGGUGAGGUAACGGCUCACCAAGGCUAAGACGGGUAGCUGGUCUGAGAGGACGACCAGCCACACUGGAACUGAGACACGGUCCAGACACCUACGGGUGGCAGCAGUCGAGAAUUUUUCUCAAUGGGCGAAAGCCUGAAGGAGCGACGCCGCGUGGGGGAUGAAUGGCUUCGGCCCGUAAACCCCUGUCAUUCGCGAACAAAUUGCUUCAACCAAUACAUGAAGCAUUGAUAGUAGCGGAAGAGGAAGGGACGGCUAACUCUGUGCCAGCAGCCGCGGUAAUACAGAGGUCCCAAGCGUUGUUCGGAUUCACUGGGCGUAAAGGGUGCGUAGGCGGUCGGGUAAGUCUGUUGUGAAAUCUCCGAGCUUAACUCGGAAACUGCAGCGGAUACUAUCGGGCUUGAGGAAUGGAAGGGAGACUGGAAUACUUGGUGUAGCAGUGAAAUGCGUAGAUAUCAAGUGGA